ACUCCUACGGGAGGCAGCAGUGAGGAAUAUUGCACAAUGGAGGAAACUCUGAUGCAGCAACGCCGCGUGGAGGAUGACGCAUUUCGGUGUGUAAACUCCUUUUAUGAGUCAAGAAAAUGACGGUAGCUCAUGAAUAAGCACCGGCUAACUCCGUGCCAGCAGCCGCGGUAAUACGGAGGGUGCAAGCGUUAUUCGGAAUCACUGGGCGUAAAGGACGCGUAGGCGGGAAGCCAAGUCUGAUGUGAAAUCCUAUGGCUUAACCAUAGAACUGCAUUGGAAACUGGUUACCUAGAGUAUGGGAGGGGGAGAUGGAAUUAGUGGUGUAGGGGUAAAAUCCGUAGAUAUCACUAGGAAUACCGAAAGCGAAGGCGAUCUCCUGGAACAAUACUGACGCUAAGGCGUGAAAGCGUGGGGAGCAAACGGGAUUAGAUACCCCAGUAGUCC
rnacentral:rRNA from 1 species